ensembl:lncRNA
GAUGUGGGCUGUGCGACUGAGUGAAAUCCCGAGAAGACGAGCCUCUUUUAGUUUUCAUUGUCCUUAAGCACAAAUGAUUGUAUGAAGAGAAAAGCACCUUGAACGCGCUACAGUCAAAAUAAAGGAGUUGGAUUACCCAGUUAGCCAGAUAGCUGUGGAGAAAAAAGCCACAAAUAAUGGUUUUUGGGGGGAUGAUUUGUAGCCUUGCCCAGUGAUGACCUUUUUUUUUGUUUGUUUUUUUAGAACACUGCUAUCUUUGGCUUUUUUUUCCUCCUUUGCAACGUUUCCAAACUUUUUCUCUGUGCGAUUGUCCCGAAUGUGCCCUUGAAGAGAGCAGCCGACAACAGACGCUGCAGCAGAAAUCCUCCCUGUAAAAGUGUUUUUAAUUAUUAAUGCUGGCCCUCCAUACUGGCACAACUCCAGGCUGCCAGUGGACAGCCACUACAUUUCACUCACUCACUGCCAUGAAUUAUUCUCACACUCUCAUACACGUCCGUACACAGGCACAUGCAUGCAAGAACAACGUGAAAGCCACAGUAGGCAUAUGGAAGUACAUGCACUCGCCGGCCUGAGGAAAUAUGACCAUUGCAUAUGCAUUAAAAAAAUAUCAUGACGCAGUGCACAGCGCUAAAAUAAAUCCUAAUGGAGUAUUUAUUAUGUAAGCAUGCGUGCAUGAAUGUACAGAAGCAAGUACGCACGUUGUACGUUAUCUGACGUAUCGCACACACACGCGCGCUCACACUUCACCAGACGCACAAUGGCUCUCCAAGCACACACGGGCCAUUUGCAGUAUUUCUUCUAUUCAGUGUAUUCUGUCCAGCUGUCAGCGGGCUGUCAGUGUGCUCAGUUGCCAGGCAAACAGCCCCACCUCCUCCCAAUAAUAAAAUAUGCCUUUAAAAUGUCACUCGCUCCCGAAAGAGCAAAAGCAGAGGCAACAAAUCGAUUCACAUUAGUUGUUCAAUUGACUUUGGCUUGAACUUAGCUCCUACUCUCCCUUUGCCUCCAUUUCCCUUUUCUUACUUUCUUUCUUGCCAGCUUUCUGGCCCUUGCUCUGUCCCCUCCUUGACACUUGCUUUUUUUAAAAAAUUUUACUUUCUUUUUUUCUUUUUCACCCCCGGUUUACAGCUUCACAGAUCUCCCCACCUCCUCUCUCCUCCUUCUCACUCCAUUUUCACCUCUCCUCUAUUUUCUCCCCCAGCUAAUCUAAACAAAUAAAUGCAGCGGCGGGCGCCGGCAGCGGCUUCGGGCGCAACUCCUAUUCACUCUUCCCGCCGACCACCACCGUGGCAGCACUCAUUUCAAUUUUCACCUCGUUUUAGACUUAUCACAUUGACAUCAUUAAGGCUCCCUCUCAGCGGCGCACUCAUUCGUUAUCCUCUCCAUUUUACACCUUUCUAUCUGUCUCUCUCUCUCUGUCUGUUUGUGUGUGUCUCCCUUUCUCUCCCCUCUUCUCCCUCUCCUUAUCUGUCCCGCUCAUUGUCAGAGGAUUUAAAAGGCUCUCUAUUUGAGAGCAGCGAGUGUCUGAGCUUUGGUUUUUCAUCCCAGUGACAGAAACCUGUUGGAGCCUCCUUAUUCAGAAUGAAAGAGUGGGACGUUUUUGCCUUUUUAAAGGGGGUAGCUAGAAGCCGCGUCGAGCUUGUAAAGCUGAAAAAGUGACACACGACUCGUUCUGUUUGUUCAUUUCAGCGGGGAUAAUAUUUCUUUCCACAACGCAACACAGCAGCAAUAUUUCUAUUAUAACUUAAAGGCUGGGGUAGGCAGAAAUCUAAACAAGGUAAGCAAACAAAAUGAAACAUUUGAAAGGAGAGAAGCCUCCUCCCAGCCCCUCCACCAAAUAAGCAUGGGUGCUGAGCACUGGCAGGGUUCGAAGGUCACUUAAUGCAUCAUAUCAACGCAUUCACUCACAUCCAGCACACCUGAUUGUUUCUAAAGCCUGAAACCAGGACCAGGACUUUCUCU